AUUGAACGCUGGCGGCAUGCUUUACACAUGCAAGUCGAACGGUGACAGGUUAAGCUGACGAGUGGCGAACGGGUGAGUAAUGCAUCGGAACGUGCCCGAUCGUGGGGGAUAACGCAGCGAAAGCUGCGCUAAUACCGCAUACGAUCUGAGGAUGAAGGCGGGGGACCGUAAGGCCUCGCGCGAGCGGAGCGGCCGAUGUCAGAUUAGGUAGUUGGUGGGGUAAAGGCUCACCAAGCCGACGAUCUGUAGCUGGUCUGAGAGGACGACCAGCCACACUGGGACUGAGACACGGCCCAGACUCCUACGGGAGGCAGCAGUGGGGAAUUUUGGACAAUGGGCGAAAGCCUGAUCCAGCAAUGCCGCGUGCAGGAAGAAGGCCUUCGGGUUGUAAACUGCUUUUGUACGGAGCGAAAAGGCUCUCUCUAAUACAGGGGGCUCAUGACGGUACCGUAAGAAUAAGCACCGGCUAACUACGUGCCAGCCGCCGCAGUAACAC
rnacentral:rRNA from 1 species